rnacentral:rRNA from 1 species
GACGAACGCUGGCGGCGUGCUUAACACAUGCAAGUCGAACGGAAAGGCCCUGCUUGCAGGGUGCUCGAGUGGCGAACGGGUGAGUAACACGUGGGUGAUUUGCCCCUUACUUUGGGAUAAGCCUGGGAAACUGGGCCUAAUACUGGAUAGGACCAUGCUGUAGGUGGUGUGGUGGAAAGAUUAGUUUCGGUAAGGGAUGAGCUCGCGGCCUAUCAGCUUGUUGGUGGGGUAAUGGCCUACCAAGGCGUCGACGGGUAGCCGGCCUGAGAGGGUGGACGGCCACAUUGGGACUGAGAUACGGCCCAGACUCCUACGGGAGGCAGCAGUGGGGAAUAUUGCACAAUGGGCGCAAGCCUGAUGCAGCGACGCCGCGUGGGGGAUGACGGCCUUCGGGUUGUAAACACCUUUCAGCCAUGACGAAGCCCUUGUGGUGACGUUAGUGGUAGAAGAAGCACCGGCUAACUACGUG